GGUGUGUAUUGUUUGGUUGACAAACAUAUUACCAGAGGUUCACAGGAACCUAACCCUGUAUUUCCCCUAGGAGUAAUGAUUCAAUACUUGCUAAUUCAGUGUUUGCAGCAACUUUAUACAAUAACUACCAUGAAUAAUGAUAACUGACUGUAUGUUUUUUGUAGAUAACUUCCAUCAGAUCUAAAAUGUACUCUUUUUUCCCUAAUGUUAGGUUUUUAUUUUAUUCUGUUUUUAACCUGAAUGGAGUUGAAAUUCAUCCAAUUUUUCUCUGCAUUGUGAAUAAACCUAUGGCUUUCCACUGUUAAUAUGUUGAAAAAUAGACUUUCCAGUAUUGAAUCUAUUUUAAGAUGUACCCAAUGUGUCAGUUAUCAUUUUAUUGCUUUUAAGCUCCAAAUGCACCCUUCCCCAACCUACUUUUUGAUAUUGGUCCAGGACCUCGUAAACAUUUCUCCUUUGUCAGUAGAAGGCCCUGGAAGGACACUGAAGGAGGAAAAAGUUUCAUGACCUAUUCCUAGUUUGCUUUUCCUAGCUUUUGUUCCUAUGAUGCUCAGCCACUGUGCAGAAGACUACAGCAGCUCACCUCCAGCCUAGUGUCAGUGCUACUUCUGCUGGCAGCUUCCUGUUUUAGGUGCUGACAGCACUCUGGCAACUAUGUGAACAUUCCUAAAACACACAAGUGACACAGUACAAGAAAGGCAAAGAUUCUCUUUGUGCCCAGGGAAAGCAGCGUUAUGACGGGAAGCAGAGUGGCUAUGUUGUUGUGGGAACAAUGGACCUUACUGCUGAAGGCUGAAGAUACAGAAGCCCCAUUAUGCCAAGAUGAAAAUGUGAUCACAGUGAAGGUUCAAUCACAGCUUUUCGUGGUGAAGUCUACACCAGCGCACUAGAGAAUGGCCACUAUCCAAAAAGGCAGCCAGUAGAUAGAAUGAAAGAGUACAAAACCUUUGGUCUAGGAUUUACUAGUGUUAAAAAGAAAAAUAGAUGACAGUGAACAGGUUGGUUAAUAAAAUGAUGUAACUAAAACCAAGCAGAAAACAACAGAAGAAACCCUGUUCUCAAUCCCUGUUCUAGGUAACUUCACUGUAAACAUCUUUGGUGAAAGCAGUUUCCCUUCAGACAUUUUCACAGCACAACUAAUGGGCUGUCAGCAAUUUUGCCGUAAAUGGUAGAAUAACUGGUUGAUAGUUUGGUUUCAUUCUCUAUUGACCAAUCAACCACGUUUGGCAAAGUUAAAGUAUUGAAACUAGAUGUCCAUUUGUUUUCAUUUCUCCAUUGACAAAAUCCCCAUCUUUGUAUUCUAUAUAUCUUAGUCCUCAUAAUGGUCUAUACGUAUUCUGUUGUUUUAGUUGUGUACUUUGUAUACAGUAUAUUACUGCUUUCAAUACAUUCUGCAUAUCUUUGUCUUCUCUUACCAGAGUUUCUUUUCUUUAUUCUGACUACUGAUAUAUCUGGAUUCAUUUUGACCAUGUUAUUUUGUUCUGUUUCCCCUUUUUUUUCUUUCCCUUUUUCUCUUUUCUCCCCCCUUACUACCUUUUGAUUAAUUUCAUUCAUCUAUUUUUUUAAGAAUCUUCCUGUUUGAGAGUUCGUAUUUUCCUGUUACCCUAGGAAUCUUAACAUAUAUAUUUAACUCAACAAAAAUCUAAAUAGUUUUGCAUUCCUGUCAAUCAAUGCAAGAACCCUACUCCUCUACAAUUUAUAAGGUAGUUUUUUUUCUUUCUGAGCCAGAAGUUAGAUAUUUUUAGGAUAUACCAUCAAUUUUUACUUUAAGUAUUUUUACUUUUUUUUCUUUUUCAUCCAUUCCUUCUCGAAGCUUAGACCCUCCACUGGAGAUUGCUUUCCACAUUCUUGUCCUUCACACAUAGCCUCUUAGCUCACUUAUUCAUUUUCUGAUAUGGCCAGAUAUCCCAGGAUCAUCUUAUAUAUUUCCUGUACCACAUCUGGGAUCAGCCAUUUCCCUAAGGAGGACUCGUUUCUGUUAGUAUGAAAUGAUAUUUGGAAAUCAAGAUCUGUGUGCUAGGAGCAUACAACUACUUGGUUGCCCAUUGCUAACUAGGCCUUUUCAAUGUACAGACCUAGGAAAAAAUGUAUUUUGUAAUUACUUACGCUUAAUCAAUGUAUAUGAAGUUUUCUUACCAAUAUCAAUAUUAUUGUUAAUAAUAUGCUUACUGAAAACAGGGGUUUGGUUUUUGGGUGGAGGAGGAGACUUCUUUUUAAAGGUCAAAUAUAUCCCACUAGAGAUUUUUAAAAAACACUUGAAAUAUUUACUCUCCAUGUGCCAACUUGAUACACAAGUUUAUUCAUUUGAUUUUGCUUUUAAAAGUUGAUUGCCUUUUUUAAAGAACGUAAUGUUUUUAUCAUUAUGUGAGACAUCCAUACUGUCUAAAGUAAAAUAUAUAAAACAAGAUAUAUUCAGAAAAGUUUAGCUUCUAUCACUGUCCUCUCCAACAUAUUUCCUUCCUUGUCCUAUAAGUCACAUUAAAAAUAUUUUUUUCAGUUUACCUUUCCAUUUUUUUAAUGUUUAUUUAUUUUGAGAGAGAGAAAGGGAGAAAGUGCAUGCAGUGGGAGAGG